rnacentral:rRNA from 1 species
CCUACGGGGUGCAGCAGUGGGGAAUAUUGGACAAUGGGCGAAAGCCUGAUCCAGCCAUGCCGCGUGUGUGAAGAAGGCCUCCGGGUUGUAAAGCACUUUCAGUGGGGAAGAAAGCCUUGGGGCUAAUACCCUCGAGGAAGGACAUCACCCACAGAAGAAGCACCGGCUAACUCCGUGCCAGCAGCCGCGGUAAUACGGAGGGUGCGAGCGUUAAUCGGAAUUACUGGGCGUAAAGCGCGCGUAGGCGGUCUGAUAAGCCGGUUGUGAAAGCCCCGGGCUCAACCUGGGAACGGCAUCCGGAACUGUCAGGCUAGAGUGCAGGAGAGGAAGGUAGAAUUCCCGGUGUAGCGGUGAAAUGCGUAGAGAUCGGGAGGAAUACCAGUGGCGAAGGCGGCCUUCUGGACUGACACUGACGCUGAGGUGCGAAAGCGUGGGUAGCAAACAGGAUUAGAUACCCUUGUAGUC